AUUAAGCAUUGCCUUUUCUCCUUUAGCUAUAGAGACUCUUUAUCUUGCUCUAUAUUAACUGUGAGAUGUGAGCUUUUGGUAUAUUUUCUCAUUUCAAUUCAGCACAGAUAGGCGCCAGACAUUCACAUGGGUUUAGAAGCCAUGGAUCAUGGUUUGAAUCUGAAAUUUCCUCUACAAGCUCAUGUCUUGAAUAUUUUUUUCCAAUGUUUGAAUAGUGGCACUGUUUGGGGGAGAUGGGGGAACCUUUUGGUGGCAGGACCUGGCUCACAGCAGUAGGCCAGUAGGGGCCCAGCCCUUAAGUGUUACAGCCUGGCUGCUGGUUCUUUCCUCUCUGCUCUCUGUUCCACAGUGAUGUAGACAGUCUAUGGCAGACAUUGCUGCUUCUGGGAGCUGGGCUGCUUGGCCAUGUCUUCCUCUCCAUGACAAGGACUCCCUAAAACUGUGAGCCAAAAUAAAUUCUCUCACCCCUGUUUCCAUCUUGCAUUCUGGUCACGGAGAUUUAAAAAGCUAACUAAUAUGCUAUGCCUUGGUGUUUCUUAUUGAACCAUCACAGUUACUCUUAACCUCAUUGUUCCAGUUUUGAAUGAAGAGAAAUUUAGAAAACUUUAAAAAGAAACAAAACAGGGUUUGAGGCAAAAACCAGAAGGUUCAACCUCUUUGCCGAUCCUGCUUUUACAAUUGGGUAGAAAAAUUGGGGUUAGGCCUCAUGACUUUGCCCUUCUGCUUAGUGUGUCGACCAUUGGAAGGGCCAGUCUAUUGGCCUACAUGAUGGAAUGAGUGAGCAAAGGACACAUGACAAUAGAGGAGAAGGAAAUGUCUGUGUUCAGACAGCACUGGGCUUUCAAGGACUAAAUAAGCAAAGAUGGGUGAGGCCUUCUGCCUCUAGGGCCAACUGUGCUACAGUCUGUAAAGUUUAUUUAGUUCUUUGAGUCUAAACCAGAAUUUCUCAAACCUCAGUGUGUCUCUGAACCCCUGUAGGUCAUGUUAAAAUAUGACUGUUUCACGAAGAAGCUGGUGUGGGAUAGGGCUUGAGAAUUCACACUUGGAAUAAAUCCCCAGUGAUGGCAUGGUUAGUCAAGGGACCUCUCCUCUGUAAAAUAAAUAAAUAAAUAAACAAACAAACAAACAAACAGGAAAAAAUGAACAUAGCAAACAAAAAUCUUAAAUUGUAAAUUUUGGUGUCUCGUUCAAGCCAUUGGGAAAACAAGCAAGCAAACAAACAAAAGGCCUUUCCCUAAAAUACUUAAUCUCCAACUCUCACUGCCAUGUGACCAUUUCUUAGAGGGAGUGGUCUGUGUUUGCUGGGCUUUCUCCAAAGCCUCUUGUAGGCAGCCAUGACUCAUCCUGCACACUGCAAGUAUAAGGUCCCUAGGAUUCCCAUUAAGUACUGCCAUCAAAUUUCCCUCAGUCCCGUUGAACUCCUUUUUGUUUCCUCUGUAACCUAGAACCUGUGUUGUCAGGGUGACUAGCUAGAACUAAGAGUGGAAUAAGCCACCAUAAUGCACAGGCCGGUGAUGACUCUCUAGCCAUUGACUGUAGAACGUGGCUUUUAUCAGGGCAGCCUUAGAGAUGACAACAGAAACGCCUGGUAUUCAUUUCUUCUUCUUUUUUUUUAACUGAAAGGGAAAAACUAUAAAAUGUAGACCUUGAGAUGGGUCCAAGAGCUGGUAAACAAUGUUCAGAGGGGAGAACAUACACACACACACACACACACACACACACACACUCCUAAAAGCACAUAUUUACUUUUAGUAGUCCAAGGCUACUAAAACCUGGUUCAUUCACUCAGCAAAUAAUUAUUGAUUAUUUUCCUGGAACUGUCCUGGCGACGAGGCCAAAAGGAAGCCCUGAAAACACCAGUGUGCACUGGGUGGGAAGGAAACGAGACAGUAGCUUAGCUGAGCUUGUGCCUCUUACACAGCCUCUCUUGGACCUUAUGCUUUGGCCUGGUUUUAAUGCUGAACACAAACCCUGCUUGCUCUGGCAAAGAGAACCUCUCAGGAUUGGCUGGUCCCUGAAAGUCACCUCUGACCUGCUUCGCUUUCAUCUCGUGGAGAACAGUUCAGCCGUUGCUAAGGAGGUCCUCAGAACAGUUCAGCCGUUGCUAAGGAGGUCCUCAGAAAUCAUUUCUAGUUCCCUUGAAAGGUUCAGUUGCAUAAGAACAUGUUUAAAUAAAUAACAUGCACUACAUGGUGGUUAAUAUUUUACCCCUGUGUGUUAUCAAAGAGCUAGACUUUCUCUUCAUGAACCGUCCAAACUUAAUAAGCAACUGUCUGACAAAGGCCAUAAAAUAAUCUUAGGUGGUUUGUUUGAGUAGUUUCUCUCCAAAUCAUUUUUAAGGGAUAUCAACUCUUGGGAGCACCCGAUUCCACCAGGCUGUCGUAGCCAGAAAGAAGCCUGAGAGUGUCUCAGUUUCCGUCUUUCUUGGUAAAAACUGGGCGUGUCUAUGAGACAGGAGAUGCCUUAAGUGAAGUAUCACUUUCUUACACUCAUCCAGUUCUUGCCUGAAUGAAGCCAUUAUGCAAUGAGCUCUGAUUGACAGCUAUGGCUAGCCACGGCUCCCACCCAUUCCACACACUGGCCCCUGCUGGUGCGUGGGCACUGCUGUGUACCAAGUACUGUGAGCAUUACGUAUACGCUGAGGAUUUGUGUACAGCGUCCUUAUGACAGCAAUGUUGC
rnacentral:lncRNA from 1 species